rnacentral:rRNA from 1 species
UACGGAGGGUGCAAGCGUUAUCCGGAUUCACUGGGUUUAAAGGGUGCGUAGGCGGGCAGGUAAGUCCGUGGUGAAAUCCCGAGCUUAACGUCGGGAAACCUGGACCAUGGAUACUAUUUGUCUUGAAUAUUGUGGAGGUAAGCGGAAUAUGUCAUGUAGCGGUGAAAUGCUUAGAUAUGACAUAGAACACCAAUUGCGAAGGCAGCUUGCUACACAGUUAUUGACGCUGAGGCACGAAAGCGUGGGGAUCAAACAGG